rnacentral:rRNA from 1 species
AACUACAAGAGGUAUUUGUAGCGCUUUCUGCUCAAUGAGAUUUUAAAUAGCCGCAGUACUCUGACUGUGCAAAGGUAGCAUAAUAAUUUGGCUUUUAAUUGGGGUCUGGUAUGAAUGAAAUAAUGGGGAGAAACUGUAUCAGAUAAAGUACCUUAAUUUACUUAUAGGGUGAAAAUUCCCUUUUUAAAAUAUUAGACGAGAAGACCCUUGAAAUUUAUUCAAUAUUUUGUUGGGGCGACAGAGUAGCAAGAAACCUACUUAUAUAAAUAUGAUAAAUAUAUUAAGAUUAAUUAAAUUACUCAAGGGAUAACAGCAUAAUUAUUAAAUAGUUUGUGACCUCGAUGUUGGAUUAGGAAAAUCAAACCCAGAAGGUAAUGAUGAUUGCUCUGUUCGAGCAUUAAUUCCUACGUGAUCUGGUUCCCGAACCGGA